rnacentral:ncRNA from 2 species
GAUGGCUCAAAACGGUACGGUCACGACGACACGACGACGGGUGACGGAAGCCGGUGGGAAUCCGGCACGGUCGCGCCACUGUGUUCCGGGGCGUUCCGCUCGGCGCCCGGGGAGUCAGACCCGCCCCUCGUCGUCCGGCACC